AACGUAGGAGGCAAGCGUUAUCCGGAGUGACUGGGCGUAAAGAGCGUGUAGGCGGGUGAGUAAGUUGCGUGUGAAAGCGCCCGGCUAAACUGGGCGAGGACAGGCAAGACUGCUGAGCUAGAGGGCGAUAGAGGGGUGCGGAAUUCCGUGUGGAACGGUGAAAUGCGGAGAGAUCCGGAGGAACACCAGUGGUGAAGACUGCGCCCUGGAUCGGACCUUAGGCUGAGACGCGAAAGCGUGGGGCGCGAACGGG
rnacentral:rRNA from 1 species